rfam:Nelumbo nucifera chloroplast, complete genome
UUGAGCCGUAUGCAUCCAAAGGUGCAUGUACGGUUCCUAAAGGAUACAAUUUUGUCCUAAUCAACCGACUUCAUCGAGAAAGAUUACUUUUU